CCUACGGGAGGCAGCAGUGAGGAAUAUUGGUCAAUGGACGAGAGUCUGAACCAGCCAAGUAGCGUGAAGGAUGACUGCCCUAUGGGUUGUAAACUUCUUUUAUAUGGGAAUAAAAUGUUCCACGUGUGGGAUUUUGUAUGUACCAUAUGAAUAAGGAUCGGAUAACUCCGUGCCAGCAGCCGCGGUAAUACGGAGGAUCCGAGCGUUAGCCGGAUUAAUUGGGUUUAAAGGGAGCGUAGGUGGAUUGUUAAGUCAGUUGUGAAAGUUUGCGGCUCAACCUCUUCGAGCCGUUGAAACUGGUUUUCUUGAGUGAGCGAGAAGUAUGCGGAAUGCGUGGUGUAGCGGUGAAAUGCAUAGAUAUCACGCAGAACUCCGAUUGCGAAGGCAGCAUACCGGCGCUCAACUGACGCUCAUGCACGAAAGUGUGGGUAUCGAACAGGAUUAGAUACCCUUGUAGUC
rnacentral:rRNA from 1 species